rnacentral:rRNA from 1 species
AGCAGCAGCCGCGGUAAUACGAAGGGUGCAAGCGUUAAUCGGAAUUACUGGGCGUAAAGCGUGCGUAGGCGGUUUGUUAAGUCUGUUGUGAAAUCCCCGGGCUCAACCUGGGAAUGGCAAUGGAUACUGGCAAGCUAGAGUGUGUCAGAGGAUGGUGGAAUUCCCGGUGUAGCGGUGAAAUGCGUAGAGAUCGGGAGGAACAUCAGUGGCGAAGGCGGCCAUCUGGGACAACACUGACGCUGAGGCACGAAAGCGUGGGGAGCAAACAGGAUUAGAUACCCGGGUAGUCCCUGUCUCUUAUAC